rnacentral:misc_RNA from 1 species
CAGAGUGUAAAAACUCCCAAACCAAUGUGAAUCAUACCCUUGUUCUAGUUACUUCGGUGGGCGAUCCCUCUGGGAUCGUAGCCGUGAGGCGCCUGCCGGAGGUAUCAAAAACUCUUGUUAUAGCAGUCUUCUGAGUACUAUACAAAUAAAUCA